GAACCUGCGGAGGGAUCAUUACCGAGUUAUACAACUCAUCAACCCUGUGAACAUACCUAAACGUUGCUUCGGCGGGAACAGACGGCCCCGUAACACGGGCCGCCCCCGCCAGAGGACCCCCUAACUCUGUUUCUAUAAUGUUUCUUCUGAGUAAAACAAGCAAAUAAAUUAAAACUUUCAACAACGGAUCUCUUGGCUCUGGCAUCGAUGAAGAACGCAGCGAAAUGCGAUAAGUAAUGUGAAUUGCAGAAUUCAGUGAAUCAUCGAAUCUUUGAACGCACAUUGCGCCCGCCAGUAUUCUGGCGGGCAUGCCUGUUCGAGCGUCAUUACAACCCUCAGGCCCCCGGGCCUGGCGUUGGGGAUCGGCGGAGCCCCCCGCGGGCACACGCCGUCCCCCAAAUACAGUGGCGGUCCCGCCGCAGCUUCCAUUGCGUAGUAGCUAACACCUCGCAACUGGAGAGCGGCGCGGCCACGCCGUAAAACCCCCAACUUCUGAACGUUGACCUCGAAUCAGGUAGGAAUACCCGCUGAACUUAAGCAUAUCAAUAAGCG
rnacentral:rRNA from 1 species